rnacentral:pre_miRNA from 1 species
GAAAUAUAAGAACCCGUCUCUUAAUUUUUAACUAAAAAAACUAAGAACCGGUUCUUAAAACUCUUAUUUAAGAACCGGUUCUUAGCUUUUUUUAGUUAAAAGUUAAGAGACGGGUUCUUAUAUUCC